CCUACGGGAGGCAGCAGUGAGGAAUAUUGGUCAAUGGGCGGGAGCCUGAACCAGCCAAGUCGCGUGAGGGCAGACGGUCCUAUGGAUUGUAAACCUCUUUAGGCGGGGAACAAAGGCGGGGACGUGUCCCCGGAUGAGUGUACCUGAAGAAAAAGCAUCGGCUAACUCCGUGCGAGCAGCCGCGGUAAUACGUAGGAUGCGUGCGUUGUCCGGCUUUAUUGGGUUUAAAGGGUGGGCGGGCGGUCUGUUAAGUCAGCGGGCAACGCACGGGGCUAAACCCCGGCCCGCCGUUGAGACUGGCAGUCUCGAGUUGGAGAGAAGUAUGCGGAAUGCGCGGUGUAGCAGUGAAAUGCAUAGAUAUCGAGCAGAACUCCGAUUGCGAAGGCAGCAUGCGGGCUCCACACUGACGCUAAGGCACGAAAGCGUGGGUAUCGAACGGGAUUAGAUACCCUAGUAGUC
rnacentral:rRNA from 1 species